UGGGGAAUAUUGGACAAUGGGGGGAACCCUGAUCCAGCCAUGCCGCGUGUGUGAAGAAGGCCUUAUGGUUGUAAAGCACUUUAAGCGAGGAGGAGGGUACUGGUAUUAAUACUACCAGCUACUGGACGUUACUCGCAGAAUAAGCACCGGCUAACUCUGUGCCAGCAGCCGCGGUAAUACAGAGGGUGCGAGCGUUAAUCGGAUUUACUGGGCGUAAAGCGUGCGUAGGCGGCUAAUUGAGUCGGAUGUGAAAUCCCCGAGCUUAACUUGGGAAUUGCAUUCGAUACUGGUUAGCUAGAGUGUGGGAGAGGAUGGUAGAAUUCCAGGUGUAGCGGUCAAAUGCGUAGAGAUCUGGAGGAAUACCGAUGGCGAAGGCAGCCAUCUGGCCUAACACUGACGCUGAGGUACGAAAGCAUGGGGAGCAAACAGG
rnacentral:rRNA from 1 species